rnacentral:lncRNA from 1 species
CUUUGAUGUUCUGAAAUUCUCAGCCGCCUUCCGAGAAAAACAAUUUCUUUUUAAUUAUUUUAUUUUCAUAACAAUCAAACAACGUUUUUCAAUAUGUACCAACUACUUGUGCAGUAAAAACCAUUUUACCGCGAAAUAUUACAAGACAUACAUGAGUUGUUCCCCAUGUUAAACACGUGGAUAUACGUUAUGUGCCCUCUUUAAACUGCUUACCGCUAACAAGAUAAACAUCACGGUGCUAUUGCACCAUGUCUAAAAUUAUCACAAGUCAUUACACUAUCAGAAUAAAAUACUUUUAUUCACUUAAAAAUUCUAUAACCUUCACAAUAUAAUAAAAUGUUUCAACUUACUCAGUACUGGAAGUGUUUUCCAACUCCAUAUUUGGUUGCUCUGGCGUCUCCAUCUGAUUUUGCAGAAGUGAUGAAACUGAUUUUGAUCCAUCUUUUAUUUACCAUGUAAUAUGAUACUAAAACUACGUCAUGCUGUCUCCAGCCUCGAGUUAAAGGCAGCAUUAGUGACUUUAAGCCUUAUGUUACAGUUCUAUGUAAUAUAGGCAUUUUCUAGUAAUAUUACUGUUUUAUGUA